rnacentral:lncRNA from 1 species
UCCAACCCUAAGCUUGCCAUUGAUAUCCACUGCCUAACAGAACUGUCACAAUAAAAUUAUUAUGAUGUCAUUUCCCUUGUCAUAUUAUAGAUGAGGAAAGUAGAGCCCAAAGAUGUUAUAUUACUUGCCCAAGUUCACAUACAAAUGAUGAAACUGGAAUUUGCAUCUGCAUCUCAUUCCCUCACCCAAGUUUGAAGGAAGACAGGUUGUUGGGGCUGGAAUAUAUUAACAACUAGUUAAUAAGGGAAGAAACGCUGCUUUACAUACCUCUCAGAUUGUCAGCUCUGCUCCACUCCAGUACUCUGUAAAUAGCGUUCUUCUUAUCAGCAAGUAAUGCUGCUUCUCAUUUAAAACAAGUAGUGUAGUUAGAGUGUCCUUUGAUGGUCCUUCAAGAGCGACUGGCCCAGGAAACCAGCAAGGGAGGGGAAUAUGGGGGGCGUAGAGUAAGAGGCACAUAUAAAUCAAAGCAGGUCACUGCGAAUCCUUUCCCAGAAGCUUUUACAUGGAGCUUUUAUGUGAAGCUUUUACAUGGAACUGAGACUUGGUCUCCUCCUGGUGGGAGAAUUGUGAGCUGUGUGUUGCUGGAGUCCUGGUUCCAGGGGAGGAUGAGACCCCAUGUGAGACCUCACGCAUUUGUCCAGGCUCCACAAGAGUGGGAAGAAGGGAGUCACUUUCCUGGAAGAGUUCUGACUGGUGGUAAUAUUUAAACAAUGAUCUAUAGCAGUUUGUGACCAGAUUAAGAAGCCUACACCCUACAACACCCAGAGAUCGUGUUCUGGGAACCCAUUCUACAGACCCCUUGAGUGUCUCCCAAGAGAGAGGAGUAUCCAAUAUAAGCCCUCUUCAUCAGUAGAUGAAGCCCUCAUUAGAAACCUACAUUUGACCAUCCAUUAAUGAGGAAAGGAAGGAAGGAAGAAAAAAGAAAGAAAGAAAGAAAGAAAGAAAGAAAGAAAGAAAGAAAGAAAGAAAGAAAGAAAGAAGAAAGAAAGAGAAAGAAAAAAGAAAGAAAGAAAGAGGUAAACCAUAUAUUUUAUUUUAUUUCAGCAUAAAAAAUAUAAGUGCAAAUUUGUCAAACUUUUACAAAGUGGCAAAGACUUUUCUCUGAAAAUGACUUUGCCAAUUACAUUCAGAGUUGUCCUCCCAUAUACACGGCACACAAAAUGAACCAUCUUAAUUGGAACAUCCACUUUCAUUAAACGGAAGUAGGAACUGAAGACACUGGGGAAUUAACUUUAAGGUGUAAUCGUUUUUAGAUUUUGAUCAUUUUCCCUCAAUAUUUUAUAACCACAUCUAACCCAAUAAAAUUGGUGUGUGUGUGUGUGUGUGAUUUAUU